UACUAGAGUAGCACUCGCAUAUCAAUAAGCGGAGGAAAAGAAACUAACAAGGAUUCCCCUAGUAACGGCGAGUGAAGCGGGAAGAGCUCAAAUUUGAAAUCUUAAAGGGUUUCCCUUUACGAAUUGUAGUUUAAAGAAGUGUUUUCUGUUGAGGUUUUGGUAAAAGUUCUUUGGAAUAGGACAUCAUAGAGGGUGAGAAUCCCGUAUUUGACCUUUACUUUCAACUUUGUGAUACACUUUCAAAGAGUCGGAUUGUUUGGGAAUGCAGUCCAAAAUGGGUGGUAAAUUUCAUCUAAAGCUAAAUAUUGGCGAGAGACCGAUAGCGAACAAGUACCGUGAGGGAAAGAUGAAAAGAACUUUGAAAAGAGAGUUAAACAGUACGUGAAAUUGUCAAAAGGGAAGCGUUUGACACCAGUGUUGUUUUUCUGAAAAUCAAUUAAAGAACUGUUUAUGCUAAGUUGUUUAGACUUUAUCAGCUAUCUGUUUAGUUUUAGGCUUUUCUUUAAUGCACUUUUCAGUUAACAAGUCAACAUCAAUUUCUUUUGCUGUAAAAAAGCUUGAGGAAGGUGGCUUGAGAUUCGUCUUAAGUGUUUAUAGCCUCUUGCCUAUGCAGUCGGAGAGAUUGAGGUCUGCAGCGUAGAUCCUUCGGGGCUAAAUGCAUUUGUGCUAAGUUAUAGCAUUUUAUAGACAACUUGUUGACUAUGAUUUGUCUUGUAGCUUACUCGCUUAUGUUAUUUUACCUACGCUUAGGAUGUUGAGCGCAUGUCUCUCUCU
rnacentral:rRNA from 1 species